CCUACGGGAGGCAGCAGUGAGGAAUAUUGGUCAAUGGACGAGAGUCUGAACCAGCCAAGUAGCGUGAAGGAUGACUGCCCUAUGGGUUGUAAACUUCUUUUAUAUGGGAAUAAAACGUUCCACGUGUGGGAUUUUGUAUGUACCAUAUGAAUAAGGAUCGGCUAACUCCGUGCCAGCAGCCGCGGUAAUACGGAGGAUCCGAGCGUUAUCCGGAUUUAUUGGGUUUAAAGGGAGCGUAGGUGGAUUGUUAAGUCAGUUGUGAAAGUUUGCGGCUCAACCGUAAAAUUGCAGUUGAAACUGGCAGUCUUGAGUACAGUAGAGGUGGGCGGAAUUCGUGGUGUAGCGGUGAAAUGCUUAGAUAUCACGAAGAACUCCGAUUGCGAAGGCAGUUCACUGGACUGCAACUGACAUUGAGGCUCGAAAGUGUGGGUAUCAAACAGGAUUAGAUACCCGUGUAGUC
rnacentral:rRNA from 1 species